rnacentral:rRNA from 1 species
GGGUUAAGUCCCGCAACGAGCGCAACCCCUAUCUUUAGUUGCCAGCAUUAAGUUGGGCACUCUAGAGAGACUGCCUGGGCUAACCAGGAGGAAGGUGGGGAUGACGUCAAGUCCUCAUGGCCCUUAUGUCUAGGGCUACACACGUAAUACAAUGGUGCAUACAAAGGGAAGCGACCUCGCGAGAGUGAGCAAAUCUCAAAAAGUGCAUCUCAGUCCGGAUUGGAGUCUGCAACUCGACUCCAUGAAGUUGGAAUCGCUAGUAAUCGCGGAUCAGCAUGCCGCGGUGAAUACGUUCCCAGGCCUUGUACACACCGCCCGUCACACCAUGGGAGUUGAUUGCACCAGAAGUAGCUAGCCUAACCUUCGGGAGGGCGGUUACCACGGUGUGGUUAAUGACUGGGGUGAAGUCGUAACAAGGUAACCGUAGGGGAACCUGCGGUUGGAUCACCUCCUU